UCGCACCUCUUUCCCGGAGCCACUUGGGGCGGGCGCGGCGCACUGCAGAGGCCCGGGUUCCCGCGGCUUGAGGGAAACGGCUGAGGGCCGGAGGAUCUGCUUGCACAACCCCCUUCUCGCGCCCGCCGGGAUCCCAGAUCUUCACCCACCCCAGGAAACCAUACCCUGUCCCCGUGUGGAGAUGCAAACCGCUGAAAACCGCAGCGUGGACCCGAGCUGCCCUUUAGGACAGUCUCUCCCUGGGAAGAUCCCUCUCGCGACCACAGCCUGUCGUCUGGGGACAGCUAAGGAGACGCUGCUCAAAACUGGGGACGAAGACUUACCUGAAGCCGCAAGCUCAUUCCGACUUCGCCAGUGACCUUGGACGCCUCUUCUGAACAAGGUGUCUCUGUUGAACUUCCUGAUUCUGGGGAUAAAGGUGGCUAUUCACUUUCUAACUCUAAGGAGGUCAUCCCCAUCAAGAACUUUUCCACCUGCCUCAGUUCUUGGGAGAGCCAGUCACUGUCCAUUUACAUGUGUCCUCUCUAAGACCAUCAUCCAGUUACCUCUUAAAUGUGGGUGUUUUCUUGCCUGUCCACUGAUCUCACAAUCGUAAGUCAACUGUGUAUGUAACCUCUCCUACUCAGUUCCUACAUCCAGUGAGUAGUAACAAGGAAGUUUGUUGCAAGUGAGUGAGAAAACUUAGGCAAAGAUGUGUUUGGCAUAGCUGCUGAGGGGAGAGAAAGGGAGUUGGCUAAGAUGUGCUGGUCAGGGCAGGGAGCCCAGUGGAAUUUGCACAUCUUAAAUUUGUAAUGUUUUGAAACCGCUCAGUGGUAUAUUAUUUCCAUCACGCUAAGAAUAGGAAAAAAAUUGAUUUAGUGGAUAUUUGGGAAGAAAAAGGUAUAAAAUCUCUCUACAUAAAUUUCCUUAAGGUCUUCACUGGGACUGCUCCCUACACUGACAUCAUAUCCUCAGAUGGUUGAGAGUGUAUGGUUAUCAAAAAACGGGAAUCUCUAACCACUUUGUAUUUAAAUCAACACAUCCUUCUUGUUUGAUGCGAUAACUCUUUAUUCUACCCUUCCUUCAUUUUCAGAGAUGUAAGUUUAUAUUUAUUUUUAAAAAAUUCAUAUGUAAUAAAGUUAGAUUUGUCUAUAGACCUUGAUGUAAUCUUUAUAGACUUUAAGAUGAUUUUUUAAAUACCAAAUCCUGGAACAGACACAAUAAAUUUUGAUGUAAACAUUUGGAGCUAUCCCCCUAAAAAGGGGCUCCCUUGUAUUUUUAGAACUGGUCUGAACCAGCUCUUUCUUAACUAGAAUCCUUAUCUGACAAUGCAUGGAUAAUUGCAUGUCUGAAUUCAUAUGUGUUAUUUGGUUUUCUACUUCAUGUUCCAUUUUCUGUUGCAGAUACUUGAACAUAUUACAUAAAAUUAUUAGAAGUCAGAGAGAAUUAUAUUUUGGAUAAAAUCCAAAUAUUUUACUGUGGCCUUUCAUUUAGAGGUCCCCAGUCUGUCUCUCCAGCUGCAGCUUCCCCAGCCUCACAACAUAUGCUCUAGCCAUAUUGAAUUACUUCUGAAUCUUCAAACAUGCCUUGCCCUCUCUUGCCAGCUUGUCCUUGCUUGUGCUACUCAUUCACAGUAGAUUACAUUCUCUCUAACUAAUUCCUGUGAACUUUUCAAAGCUUCUCCUUGGGAUGUCUUUCCUGGCACCCUAAUGUUAACUCUAUCAUAGGACUUCAUGCAUCACACUGUAAUAAUUCUAUCUUUGUUACUCCUGCUAGACAGUAAGAUCCUUGGAGACUGUUUUUGUCCUGAUAUCCAGUGCCUAGCACAGGGCUUGACAAUUGAAGGCAUUCAAUAAUUGAUAUUCAGCUGAAUGAAUGAAUGAAUGGAUGAAAGAAGUUACUCUUUGUGUUUCAUUUUUCUUUUUAAGUCACAUUACUCUUUUUCAUAUUUUCAGUCAUUUGUCACAGUUUUUUGAAUAUAAAAUCAUGUUUUAGUAGUACUUAAUAUAAAUAUUGUUUGUGAGUGUUUUUGCAUUUUUGUAGUUAUCUAGUAUUAUUCACCAGAGAUCUUGUGCUAUUCCUGCUCCCCUAGGAGCUUCACCUCCUCUGUUUUUAUGCAUUUACUUGCUUCCACCUGCAGUCCUGGACUGGUUCGUACUGCAGCAGAAAGUAUAAAAGCCUUCCUGCCAGGGACUGGAGGUUGCCUUAAAAUCAAACUCUCCUUUUUGUUGGUACCUGGCAUCUUUUCUUCUCUUCUUACUUGUAGGUCACCUGGUUCCUACUGACCUGCCUGAGCUUUUGCCUUGCCUUCCAGCUUUGGGAAUCUUCAGUUCUUCUAAAUCUUCUUGUCUCUGCACUCACCUGCUGUUUGCUCUGACCUUCCUUGCAGGCAUUGAUUUUUCCUUUUCUUCUUGGUUUCUGACUUACUGCAAUGUCUGACCUCUGACUUAUCUGUGUGUUUGAAUUAUGGACUAAGCAAUAUGGUUGCUGUUUUUUUUAAUCACUUCACCUGGAUCCCUUCAUUUGAAUAUACCUUGGCUUUCCUGGUCUUAGAUGAAUGCAUUAUUAUCUUUAGGUAAAGUCCUGGCUCUAUAUAAGAAUGCUAUUCCUAUUUCUUCAUAUUGUAACUUUGGAAACUGAGGCACAGAGAUUUAUAAACUCCAAGUUAACUACUAUGUUAUUUAUGAUAUAUAAGCAAAACAUAUAUUCUAAUGAACCUGAAAGUAGUGUUUAAUCUAUGAUAUACUAAAUAAGUAUUCUUAAUUGUGGCUGUGCAUGAGAAUUACUUGUGGAACCUACAGUAUAUGCAGGUGCUUGGGCCCUCCGACUGAAUCAGAAUCUUGUGUGGUGUGGCCUCAGCAUAUAUACUUUCCAAAGUGUCUUGAUUCAUUUUGAUGGACAACAUGGGCUGAAGUUGAGAAGCACUGCCGCACCAAUGAUUACCCUAGAUGUUGUACAUUGGAUAUGACAACGAGGAUCUCAAAUCUUAGAGGACUAAUAAAAACCAACAUUAUUCAUUGCUUACUGUAUGCAUCUAAUUUUUCAUUUAAUUAACCUUCAAAUCAACACUAUGAGCUAGGUACUGUCCACAUAGACGGUGAUUAAACUUAAAUUGAAAGAUGUUCGGUUACUGGGCCAAGGUUACGUAGUUAACUGCAGAGCAGGUAUUUAAACCCAAGUCUUUCUUAUGCUUAGAUGUUGUGCUGUAUAGCAUACCAAUAACUCAUUGAUUCUUUGUCAUCAUAAACAGUAUAUUGGAUCUGUUACUAAUCCAUCAUUUUACUACUAGAGUUAAUAUGUUCAAAAGAAAUCUGAUCCUCUUAUUACCUUGCUUGAGGAUUCCUGUAGUCUCCUAAUUGCUGACAAGAUAAAGUAAAUUUUCCUUGCCAUGAUAUAAAAUAUCCCUCACAAUCUGUUUUCCAACUCCCUCUCCAAUUCUAUCUUCCCCAUCAUUUCCUCUAUCCAUUUCCCACCAUUUUUGUUACACAUCAAACUCAGAAACAAUGAAAUACCUUUGUAUUGGGAUUUGAGAGUCAUUUGAAGAGGAAAUCAAUUCUCCUUUCCAGAUUCUGAAACAAUUGAAGAGUCAU